GGAAUUAAAUGGCCGCAGUAUUUUGACUGUGCUAAGGUAGCAUAAUCAUUAGUUUUUUAAUUGAAAGCUGGAAUGAAGGGUUGGAUGAAAAAAAGACUAUUUUUAUUUAAUUAUAUUAAAAUUUUAUUUUUAAGUUAAAAAGCUUAAAUUUUAUUAAAAGACGAGAAGACCCUAUAGAGUUUAAUAUAAAUUAGAUUUAAUAAAAUUAGGAUUUAUUUUUUUAUUUUAAAUUUAUAUUUAAUUGGGGUGAUUGAAAAAUUUAUUUAACUUUUUUUUCAUUUUAAUACUAAUAAGUAAUUUUUUGAUCCAAUAUUUUUGAUUAUAAGAUAAAAUUACCUUAGGGAUAACAGCGUAAUUUUAUUAGAGAGUUCAAAUCGAUAAUAAAGAUUGCGACCUCGAUGUUGGAUUAAAAUUUAUAAUUGGUGUAGAAGCUAAUUAAUUG
rnacentral:rRNA from 1 species